rnacentral:rRNA from 1 species
UACGGAGGGUGCAAGCGUUAUCCGGAUUCACUGGGUUUAAAGGGUGCGUAGGUGGGCGAGUAAGUCAGUGGUGAAAUCUCCGGGCUUAACCCGGAAACUGCCAUUGAUACUAUUUGUCUUGAAUGUCGUGGAGGUUAGCAGAAUAUGUCAUGUAGCGGUGAAAUGCUUAGAUAUGACAUAGAAUACCCAUUGCGAAGGCAGCUAACUACGCGAUAAUUGACGCUGAUGCACGAAAGCGUGGGGAUCAAACAGG